AAGUCGUAACAAGGUUUCCGUAGGUGAACCUGCGGAAGGAUCAUUACAAAUCAUUAUGCUUACCGCCUUUAGGGGAGGUAUAGCACAUGUGCCCGGACUAUUAUCUGCAAAGAUAGUAGUCUGUGACAUUUACGCUUGUUGUGUUUGACAGAGUUAUAUUAUACAUAUAAAAUAGACAACUUUUAACAAUGGAUCUCUUGGCUCUU
rnacentral:misc_RNA from 1 species